rnacentral:rRNA from 1 species
UACGUAGGGGGCAAGCGUUGUCCGGAUUUAUUGGGCGUAAAGAGCGUGUAGGCGGCUUUACAGGUCCGUUGUGAAAACUCGAGGCUCAACCUCGAGACGCCGGUGGAAACCGUAAAGCUAGAGUCCGGAAGAGGAGAGUGGAAUUCCUGGUGUAGCGGUGAAAUGCGCAGAUAUCAGGAGGAACACCGGUGGCGAAGGCGGCGUUCUGGACUGCAACUGACACUGAGGCGCGAAAGCGUGGGGAGCAAACAGG